UACAGAGGUCUCAACCGUUGUCCGGAAUCAUUGGGCGUAAAGAGCGUGUAGGCGGUCCGGUAAGUCCGCUGUGAAAGUCGGGGGCUCAACCCUCGAAUGCCGGUGGAUACUGUCGGGCUAGAGUGCGGAAGAGGCGAGUGGAAUUCCUGGUGUAGCGGUGAAAUGCGCAGAUAUCAGGAGGAACACCUAUUGCGAAGGCAGCUCGCUGGGACGUAACUGACGCUGAGACGCGAAAGCGUGGGGAGCAAACAGG
rnacentral:rRNA from 1 species